ACUGGAACCGCAGAGAUGUGGGUGUGCCCGAAAGGGAACCUAGACACAGGUGCUGCAUGGCUGUCCCCAUCUCGUGUCGUGAGAUGUUGGGUUAAGUCCCGCAACGAGCGCAACCCUUGCCAUUAGUUGCUACAUUCAGUUGGGCACUCUAAUGGGACCGCCGGUGACAAACCGGAGGAAGGUGGGGAUGACGUCAAGUCCUCAUGGCCCUUAUGGGUAGGGCUUCACACGUAAUACAAUGGUCGGUACAGAGGGCUGCCAACCCGCAAGGGGGAGCUAAUCCCAGAAAGCCGAUCGUAGUCCGGAUUGUAGUCUGCAACUCGACUGCAUGAAGCCGGAAUCGCUAGUAAUCGCGGAUCAGCAUGUCGCGGUGAAUACGUUCCCGGGUCUUGUACACACCGCCCGUCACACCAUGGGAGUGGGUUCCACCAGAAGUAGUUAGCCUAACCGCAAGGAGGGCGAUUACCACGGUGAGAUUCAUGACUGGGGUGAAGUCGUCGUAACAAGGUAACCGUAA
rnacentral:rRNA from 1 species